ACAAUGCAGAAAAUUGCCCAGCUAAGUUGUACACAAAAAAGCAAGAAAUCUCCAACUCAAACAGUUACCAAUUGAUCUCUUCUUAAACAUGAGUAGAGGAAUGGAAAGCAUUGUCAACAGUGCUAGCAAGCAACACUUGCAAAGCAAUUAUGUGCUCACUCACGCACUGUAUGGCUUCUGCUAGGAUCACUUGGUUUCUGACCUCAUUUCAACCUUGUUCCAAAUAUAAAUUAAUUGACAAAAUGUAAAGUGAGGUGAGAGUGAUCACCCUUGACAUUGAGAUAGUGUUUGAUUGACUGCGGCUUUAAGAAGUUUAGAUCAGAGUGGUGCUGGAAAAGCACAGCAGGUCAGGCAGCAUCUGAGGAGCAGGAAAAUCGACGUUUCGGGCAUAAACCCUUCUUCGGGAAUGGAGGAAUAUUUGUGGAGCUACCCACUUCAGUGAAUUGUUCAAUUGUUCACCAUCAUUCACAAAUGAACAUGGCAGGAUUGGUUGUGAGAUUGCUUCACUCUGUCUAUCACUUCUUCUUGCCCAUGCAGUUUG